rnacentral:rRNA from 1 species
UACGUAGGGGGCAAGCGUUGUCCGGAUUUAUUGGGCGUAAAGAGCGUGUAGGCGGCCAGACAGGUCCGUUGUGAAAACUAGAGGCUUAACCUCUAGACGUCGAUGGAAACCGUCUGGCUAGAGUCCGGAAGAGGAGAAUGGAAUUCCUGGUGUAGCGGUGAAAUGCGCAGAUAUCAGGAAGAACACCCGUGGCUAAGGCGGUUCUCUAGUACGGUACUGAUGCUGAGACGCGAAAGCGUGGGGAGCGAACAGG